GAUGAACGCUGGCGGCGUGCUUAACACAUGCAAGUCGAACGAAGCUGCUUAAAGGAAGUCUUCGGAUGGAAUUUAGGUAGACUUAGUGGCGGACGGGUGAGUAACGCGUGGAUAACCUGCCUUAUACAGGGGGAUAACGGAGAGAAAUUUCCGCUAAGACCGCAUAAGACCACAGCACCGCAUGGUGCAGGGGUAAAAUAUUUAUAGGUAUAAGAUGGAUCCGCGUCCGAUUAGCUAGUUGGUGAGGUAAAGGCCCACCAAGGCGACGAUCGGUAGCCGGCCUGAGAGGGUGAACGGCCACAUUGGGACUGAGACACGGCCCAAACUCCUACGGGAGGCAGCAGUAGGGAAUCUUCGGCAAUGGGGGGAACCCUGACCGAGCAACGCCGCGUGAGUGAAGAAGGUUUUCGGAUCGUAAAGCUCUGUUGUUAAGGAAGAACGAGUGUGAGAAUGGAAAGUUCAUACUGUGACGGUACUUAACCAGAAAGGGACGGCUAACUACGUGCCAGCAGCCGCGGUAAUACGUAGGUCCCGAGCGUUGUCCGGAUUUAUUGGGCGUAAAGCGAGCGCAGGCGGUUAGAAAAGUCUGAAGUGAAAGGCAGUGGCUCAACCAUUGUAGGCUUUGGAAACUGUUUAACUUGAGUGCAGAAGGGGAGAGUGGAAUUCCAUGUGUAGCGGUGAAAUGCGUAGAUAUAUGGAGGAACACCGGUGGCGAAAGCGGCUCUCUGGUCUGUAACUGACGCUGAGGCUCGAAAGCGUGGGGAGCGAACAGG
rnacentral:rRNA from 1 species